rnacentral:ncRNA from 1 species
GCUUUUGGGUUCUUCCGUAUGCGAAGAUGAAAAGGGAAAAAGGUUUAAGGCCUUUGCUGUUCCCGCAACUGUAAGUACUUUAAUACUCAAUGCUUCAACCACUGUCCGUUUUGCCGUAUGGGAAGGUUUAUUGAGUUGUACAAGCCAGGAGACCUGCCAAAGAGA